rnacentral:lncRNA from 1 species
UAAGAUGUUAUCAACUCACAGCAGUUACAACGCCCAUUAAUAAUAAUCAGCUUACCAGGAGCCCCACACUCUCUGUGCCCCACAGGAGAACAGCCCAAGGCAAAGGACUCAAAAAUCUAAAUGACAUCUCAACAACAUGUGAUUGUACCCAGGCAUUUCCCCCUGGGAGCACCAAAGGGAAGAAGGUAAUUUUUCGGUCUUUUGGAAGCUGUGCCCUGGUGCCAAGAUGCCUCAAGCCAAAACCACACAGAGCAGCCUGCCUGACAGAUGGGCCCAGUAGCCUUUAUCAAGCUCUUAGGCUCUUAUGAGCUUCCCUACUUGCGAAUUAAACAUAAAUUUAUCCUUUGCGGCUCUUUCAUAAAAAC